AGAAAACAUCAAUGGAAGUUACUUACUCCUGAUAAGAGAAUGCAGUGUAUCAGUCACUUCAGCAUCAACUAUUAAUUUAAGGUAAGGAGUCUGUGUCUGCCCAGAGAACAUGAAAGACUGCCAGGAGGUGUCAGCUCUUUCCAGGCCAAGAAACCCUGUUGGGCCA